rnacentral:tRNA from 1 species
GUUUUAGUAGUUUAUAUAAAAACACUGGUCUUGUAAAUCAGAAAUAAGAUACCUCUUCUAAAACU